rnacentral:rRNA from 1 species
AGCGAACGCUGGCGGCAGGCUUAACACAUGCAAGUCGAACGCCCCGCAAGGGGAGUGGCAGACGGGUGAGUAACACGUGGGAACGUACCCUUUGGUUCGGAAUAACUUGGGGAAACUCAAGCUAAUACCGGAUAAGCCCUUAUGGGGAAAGGUUUACUGCCGAAGGAUCGGCCCGCGUCUGAUUAGCUAGUUGGUUAGGUAAUGGCUCACCAAGGCGACGAUCAGUAGCUGGUCUGAGAGGAUGAUCAGCCACACUGGGCCUGAGACACGGCCCAGAUUGCUACGUGAGGCAGCAGUGGGGAAUAUUAGACAACAGGGGCAACCCUGAUCCAGCCAUGCAGCGUGAGUGAUGAAGGCCGUAGGGUUGUAAAGCUCUUUUACCCGGGACGAUAAUGACUGUACCGGGAGAAUAAGCCCCGGCUAACUUCGUGCCAGCCGCCGCGGUAA